rnacentral:lncRNA from 1 species
UGAUUGUCGAAAAAAAUAUCUAAAAAUUAAUUAAGCCGUUUCAAUGCAAGAAAGACUCUGGGAAACGCUCAGAAUGCACGAUUUAGCGUUAUUUUCUCAGAGCUUCUGGGGGCCUUGAGCGGCCCCAGACCCCUCGCCCAAAAUUUUUCGCCUCGAUCCGCUCGGCGAAUAUAUUUUGCCUCACUAUUAAAAGAGGCUAGUUACGG